UGAUGACCUUAUGGUAGAACUAAGGAAUGUCUUCAGAUAGGCAGAGUAAGGUAAGAAUCCCCUGCUUUAUCCAUAGACAAUAAUGAGCAGGUGAUGGGAAAGCUCAGUUAUCUAAGAGAAGUCAUCCAGACCCUGUUCUGGAAGGAUUGAGAGAUAGCUCCAUGGUAAAUAUUUGGGAAGAAGUAACAGUAGACAAGGGAGAGUUCAGGUUUGCUUGGGGAAGUUGAAGCAGGAAAAGCAAUCUCUCAAGAAGUAAGGCUAUCCAGUUAGGCUAAUGCAUUUCUAGAGGUAAACUGCUCAGCAUGCCAUCAAGAAAAACUCUAAGGACAUUCACUUUGAAAGGCAAAAAUUAUGGAGUGUGGGUAGCCAGCCAUAACCAGACUCUGGUUCCUGACUACUGUUAAUGAGAAGACUCAAGAUAUAUCACUUGAUAAUAAAAAUCCAUACUAAUCCUUACUUGGGAAGAAUAUUGAAUUACUUGACUGCUAAGACCCCAUCCAACCCCAAAAUUAUGAUUUUAAGAUAUUAAAUAUUGACAGACAAAUAACAUGGACUCAAUAAAUAUUUGCCCAAAUGAACAUAAUUGAAUUGAACUCAGGAAACAAAAGGGUCUCUAUUUUAUGACCUCAGUUUGUCUAAUUCUCACAAAGAACUGUAUGAGCUUUUCUUUUCUUUGAAAGUCUUACAUUUGCUCACUACAUUUCCCUGAGAAAAUCUUCAAGGUAGAACUCAUCCUACUAACUAUAUUUCAAAGGGCAAAUUUCCUUUGGUGGUUUAUUUUUUGAGUGUCCUUUCCCUAAAGUUAUUAUUCCAAAUAUAAGUUUUCACAUCUUUUAUCUAAAAAUAGAUUACCUGAACUUGAUUGCAUAUGGGUUCAUAGAAUAAUNAGGGAAAGGAGAGAAGGGGAGGAAAUAUGGGGAUAGGAAGUAGAAUGAAACAGAUAUUAUUACCUUCUAUACAUAUAUAACUGUAUGACUGUUGUGAUUAUACAACGUGUACAAUCAGAAAAAUAAGAAAUUAUACCCCAUCUAUGUAUGAUAUGUCAAAGUGCAUAAAUGUAUUCUAUAUAAUGUCAUGUAUAACUAAUGAAAUAAAAAUACAAAAGAAUUCAAGGAACAAUAAAUGUUGCUUAGGAUGUGGGGAAAAGUGUACACUCACACAUUGCUGGUGGGACUACAAGUUGGUGCAACCAUUGUUUUUGAGAAAUCAAAAAAACUAUGAAUGGAACUAGUAUUUGACCCAGUUGUCCCACUCCUCAGUAUAUAUUCAAAGGAAAUAAAAUCAGCAUACUAUAUUUAUGCAGCCAUAUCAACAUUUACAGCAGCUCAGUUCACAACAGCUAAGCAAUGGCACUAACCUAGGUGCCCUUUAACAGAUGACUGGAUAAAGAAAAUAUGGUAUAUAUACAGAAUGGAAUAAUAUCCAACAUUUGAAAAAAAAAUAGAACAUUCUUUCUUAUAUUGAGUUGGAAUUAAUUGAAAUCUGUGAACCAAAUUUUAUGCCAUAUACUUGCAUAACAUAUUUUACCUUUAAAAGAUGUUUGAAAAGUUAUUAUUACCAAUACAUUUUGUCUCAAUUGAAAGAAGUCCAAUUUUUCUAUUCUUUAUAUACUAAAAAUAAUCUGAUUUGCCUUAAUAUUAAUAUUUGCUGAAGUUGCUCUUUAAAAUGAUGUAUUUGGAGUUAAAAACAUACAGUAGAUGUGAGCUGACCAAUAUGUGGUAGGAAAUUAAUUUUUAGGCAUGUUACAUUGUUAAUAGAACUGUAAUUUAUUUCAUAUAAGUUGCAAUCAAUGUCUAUUAAAAUAGUUGAUUUUUGAAAUACGAUUUGUACCUUGGUUAAAUUUCAGUAUUUUUAGGUCAGUUAUUGAGCAUGUCAACUUUUAAUAAAUUCUGCUUGUUUUAUCUGUUAGUAUUUUUGUCAUCCAUAAUUUUUGUUAAUACAUUUUAGAGUCUAUUCAACUUUUAAAAAAAUAUUGAACAGAACAUUUUUAAGAAUAGAGCCUGUUCUAUUCCUAGAAGAGGUAGAUUCCUUAGCUUGUCAUUAGUCCUUUGGAUGUGACUUUUUAGCUAGUGAUAUAUAUUUGAAACUUAUCAUAAUCAUCAUUAUAAUAACAUUUACCAGAUAUUUUUAAUGUAGGCACUUUUCUAAGUAACUUUGUAUGUAUUAAUUAAUUUAAUCCUCAUAAUGCUGUUUUAAAAAUAUUUAUUUUUUAGUUGUAGGUGGACACAAUAUCUCUAUUUUAUGUUUAUGUGUUGCUGAGGAUUGAACCCAGUGCCUCACAUGUGCUAGGCAAGCACUCAUCCACUGAGCCACAACCCCAGCCCAUCCUCAUAAUACUUUUAUAAGGAGGUUUUAUUUCCAUUUUACAAAUGACUAAGCUGAGUUACAUAUUUUCAAGAAUUGUAAAAGUCCUGGCAUUUUAUAGUACUUGCAAGCUAAUAAACUAGACAGUCACUGUUUUAUUGCUGUUUGUAGAAGACAUAAGAUCCCUGGGUCAGAAGCAGAAGAUCUUAUUACUCACUGUACAGCAGAUAGCAUGAGCUUCAUGUUGAGUUUUGUUCCCUUGACUCCCAAGUCCCUCAGGGGCUCUGCAGAGUAGUUUGGGUUGAUCUAAAAUGAGAAACCUCCAAUUUAGAAAAUAUCAUCUUUUAUAAUGGACUGGCCCUUGUUCCAGAAGGAGACAAUGUCUCUGUAUUCCAGGGCUUUGUAUUCAAAAAGAUACAUGCAAAAAUAGUACAAGGGCUGGUUUUGUGGCUGACUUAGAGGUAAGACGCUUACCUAGUAUGCAUGAGAUCCUGGGUUAGAACUCAGAACCACACCCACACAUGCAUACAAGUCAGGAAUAUCCCUAGAUAGGUAGAAGAGUAAUGAAGCAUCACAAAAUGCAGAGUACAGAAGCAAUUUUAUUAUGAGAGAAAGCUUUAGCACACCUGAGAGCAUUUUAUUGCUUGCUGUAAGUGAAAAAUUCACUCUGAUAACUUUGCUAUUUGUAAGACUAAUUUGGGAAAACACAAAAUGCUGAUUCUCAUGUCUUGCCCUGUGUUUCUACAGGUAAUAGAAUAUUUCUGUCUCUAUAGGUAAUAGAAAUCUUUGAAUUUAUGUGAAGGGACCAAAUUACAUAAAGCAGAGAUUACAAUUAGAUUCUUUAGAUUAAGGCAAUGAGAGAGAUUGAAAAUAAUAAAAUUAUUAUUUAUGACUAUUAUUAUUUCUUAUGGCCUAGGUGCAAGGAGAUGAGUGAUCACCUGGCUGGAAAGGGACAUCUGAAAGCUGAGCACAACAGGGCUCUCUCUCAACCAGUCAGCAAGGCUCUUUUACUUGGUUUGAUUGUGUGCCUUUGGGUUAGAAGUAUUUUGAACUGUAUUUACUUAGAGUGGCUCUUUAGGUAGUUUUUUGUUUUAUCCAUUUAUGGAUUAUGGUAUUUCUUAUAUUUUUUGAAAGAGCAAAACCCACUUUAUAGAGUCUUUCUGGGGGAAUGUUUCUGUUCUUAUGUUUGAUGUAUACUUUGUAGAUUACACAGUGUUAGCUGGAGGAGAUGGGGGAGAUGGAUGAAAAAACUAAGAAUGAGAGUACAGUUAUUUUCCCUGAUGUUCUUUCUUCUUUGCUAUGGGCAAAGCCACAACCCCCAGCCAGGGAAUCAACUGUGGGACACCCACACAUACACUCCUCCCUUUUUCUUCUUCAAAACACAUCUCUCUCUUUUUUUGACAGUAUAUUUUGUUAUGAGAGCUGUAAAUUGAACAUCAUAAUUUCUUUUUUCCCUUGCAUUUUUAAUCAUUUCUGUUGCCAUAUUCAAUAUCUUGAAUAAGCAAUUUGUGAUUUUUGAUUUUUAACUAACCCAUAAUACCCAGCCCAUAUUUUCCCCUUUGAAUUCAUUUUGAGUUUUCUUUGACUAAAUAAAAUGUCUUUAAAAUGUGAAUGCCAUUAUCAUUUUAAGGCUCAGAGGACGUGCUUCUAUUUUAUAAUUUUGGUCUUAUUUCUGAAAUAACUUCAGAAAAUAUGAAAUGUUUCUGAAAUAUAUGAUUUUUUUAUUUCUGAAUCUUUAAAGUUUUGGUUCAUUGGCUCAGGUGGUUGCUGCUCUGUUGAAUGAAAGUUCUUUUUAUAAUCUUAUACAUAGUACUUUACCAAUGUCAUAGUCAGAAGGCUUUCAGAAGAGAAAGAUUUUUCAAUAAAGGAUUUAGGAAAAAUACGUUCUACUCUCUUUUAUAGUUAAGACAACAAGAAAUGAAGUACUUAUGAGUCAGGACUUGGCUGUCUGAGGAAAUACAGACAAGACUGAUGUUUUAUUACAUUAAUUUCAAUAUUUGUAUGAUCUAAAUAACAAAAAGUGAAGAAGAACUAAUUUACUCAGGUAUGAGGGCUGCUAAGCCACUUAUGGCUAUUGAACUCUUACAGUUUUCCUCAGAGUGAAGUUCUCUUUGAGUUUUAUGAAAAAAUGUUAAUGGAGGAUGAAGAAAUACAAGUAGAGGUGAAAAUACUGUUUGAUGGCAGAUGUGAUUCAAAUUUAAGAAAAAUUUAAUUGAAAAGCUAUUAAUAUGUACAUUUUGUAGACUUUUUUCCAUAAAGAACUACACCAUAUUCUUGUUUUAAUCACAUUUUCCAACAAGAAAACUUAGUCACUUUGAUAGUUCUUAAAUUUCAAUGUUCAAUAGUCAAAGUAAAUUUAGUAUGUUUUUUUCUUUUUUGGUACCAGAGAUUGAACCCAGGGGUGCUUAACCACUGAGCCAUAUUCACAGCCCUUUUUGUGAGUGUAUUUAUUUAUUUAGUUAUUUAGUAAGGGUCCUUCUAAGUUACUUAGGGCCUUGGUAAUUUGCUGAAGCUGGCUUCGAACUUGGGAUCCUCCUGCUCAGCCUUCCCAGCUGCUGGGAAUACAGGUGUAUCCCACCAUAUCCAGAAACUUAGUGUGUACUUUGAUGCAGCAGUUCCACUCACCCAUGAAUAAUAUCUAUGUAAAGUAUGACACACCAAGGUAAACAUACUAUUGAUUGAAUGAAUUAUGUGUUACUGCUAGAAAAUAAAAGCACUUAUUGGAAUAAAGAGCACUAAUAUGUUUUAACUUGGUAAUUUUAUAAAAUGUUAAAGAUGAUGCUAUUGAGAAAAUAUCUUGAAUAAAAUUUAAAUAUGUGAAAAAUUCACUCUGAUAAUUUUGCUAUUUGUAAGACUAAUUUGAGAAAACACAAAAUGCUGAUUCUCAUGUUUUGCCCUGUGUCUCUACGGGUAAUAGAAAAUUUCUGUCUCUACAGGUAAUAGAAAUCUUUGAUUUUAUGUGUAGGGACCAAAUAACAUAAAGGAUUACAAUUAGAUUCUUUAGAAUAAGAUAAUGAAAGAGAGAAUGAAAAUAAUAAAAUUGUUAUUUAUGACUAAUAAAUACAAAACCCAGAGUAAGUGAGUUAUUCCUCUUUCUAGCCAGUGGUUUUCUGAUGUACCACACUGCUCCUGGUGAACUGGGCAUCUGACUCUUCUGAAUGCCUCUUAGGUAUUAACUGCCUGGGGUGAAAAGACAAUUUAUUCUUUUUCUUUUGCAGUUCUUUGCAGUGUUGGUCCACAGGUAGAAGCCAAGCAGCGAUAUUAGUUAAUGGAGAUGUGGACUUGACAGUGUGGAAAGAGGCUUGGCACCUGAUGGAUGGAGAGUGAAUCCUGAGUAAGUCACAUCUUGGCUGCAUGACCUAGGGUGCCUUAUUUGAUUUCUUAACCUACUUUUCUCAUCAGUAAAAUAUAGAUGAAAAUAUCUGCAUUUUUGUAUGACUUAAAAAGAAUAUUGGCUGGAGUUGUAGCUCCUUGGUAGAGUACUUGCCUAGCAUGUGUGAGACACUGGUUUGAUCCUCAGUACUGCAUAUAAAUAAAUGCAUAAAAUAAAAGUUUAUCAAGAACAAUGACAACAAAAAAGAAUAUUUGCAAACAUCCCACAUAGUACCUGCUAACGAAUAGAUGCCCACAAUUCAGUUUAACUAUGGAUAUUUUGGCUUUCUUUUUUCCAGCUUAACCCCCCCUUUUUUUUCCUGUGGAGAUGUUUUUAUUUGUGUCUUGGCUUUGUUUUAUAUGUUUUUCAUCUUAAAAAUUAGACUGCCUUGGUUGGUACUCUAGGAUGGAGCAACCCAUUUUGCUAAGAGCAUCUUCAUAUCUGACCCUGUAAAUUCUGACAAGCUGGAAGUAAAGGGAAAUAUGCAUUUUACCUGAAGCUCAUAUAUCAUGUUCCUCAUUUCUUGCUCUCUUUGGUUAGGUAGUUAUGUUACGAACAACUGAUCCAGGAAUAUUCUUAGGCGGAAAAUCUGACUUUGUGGAUAUGUUCAGAAGUCAAAUGUUGUCUCUGCCUGAACCAGUAUCUCCUUGGAAACUUGAAACAUGAAACUUAAAAGUUAGUUUUUAAUUUUGUUUGUGGUAUUUACAAGUGAAGGUACAAGUGUUUUUUUAUGAAGUUCUCUGAAGCUAUUAGAUGUGGCAAAACUAGAUAUCACCCCAUUUCAUUUUAAGAUUUUGUUUUAGCUUUGCAGCAUUUUCUUUUAUGUUUUAUCAAAAGUUGUAGAUCUCAAUUUGCUUUUCAAUAUGAUGCUUUUAGAUUAAUAACCGAGUCAUUACAAUAAAAUUAUAUUUCCUGGAGCAAUAUGUUUUAUAAUCAGUUUUAUAUAAUAAAUGUAAGAUUCCUCCUUCCUGGAUAUCAUUUUGACUCCUGUUAGUACUUUUGCUGCCUUCCAUUAAUGGCUUUGGAUGGAAUGAUUUCACAUCUUUUAAGUCCAUAUCUUUGGUAAUUUCUAUCAAGAUUCUCUUCUGAGGACCUCUACAGAGGCCUGUAAGAAACUAAGGUGGGAAUUUUACUCUUAACUUGGCUACAUUGUAAAUUUGGGAUGCCAAUUUUUCUGGCUCUGAUAUAAAGUGAUCUUCUUCUUUUUUAAUAUAUAAGUAAGGCUAAUUAAUUUUCAGUUUCUACUGAAAUUGCAAUCUUCUCCUUUCUGUCUAAAUGGC
rnacentral:lncRNA from 1 species